rnacentral:rRNA from 1 species
CACGUAGGGUGCGAGCGUUGUCCGGAAUUACUGGGCGUAGAGCGCGCGUAGGCGGCUUUGCAAGUCGAGUGUGAAAUCCCCAGGCUCAACCUGGGAACUGCAUUCGAGACUGCAUAGCUAGAGUAUGGGAGAGGGAAGUGGAAUUUCAGGUGUAGCGGUGAAAUGCGUAGAUAUCUGAAGGAACAUCGGUGGCGAAAGCGACUUCCUGGACCAAUACUGACGCUCAUGUGCGAAAGCGUGGGGAGCAAACAGG